rnacentral:lncRNA from 1 species
UAAAGCUGAGUGUUUAGCUACACAGAACAUAUUCAAACAAUCACGAACGGAGCAUACACUACAGUGAAAAGAAAGAGAAUGAUUUUCGCGCUACUUUUAACCUUCGCUUCUUAUCCUGUAUUUUCUGCUGGACAGACAUGCGGAACAAAGCCAGAUGUGUAUUGUAAGCUCAACAGUCUGGAACAGCGUAUUAGCAGCUUAGAAACCAUCCAAGAAACUGAAGUCGAGUAUUUAGCCACUGGUUUUUAAAUCCUUGGCACUAAUGUAACAUUUCCUAAUGUGGUCAUGAACAAUGGUAAUGGAUACAAGAGUACUACAGGACGAUUCAAGGCUCUAGUUGCCUGUAUGUACUACAUAGCCGUCACACUGUCCCCUGCACAGGAAAAAGACUACCAAAAGGUUCAAUGUUAUGUUCAGAAGAACGGAAAUGAUAUACUUGAGCUUUUCUCCGAUAAGUUCGGUGCUGAUGAAGUUGGAUCAUAUCAGAUAACAGCGACAACGCCUGUAUAUCUUGCUAUUGAUGAUGUUGUCAGUGUUGGCGCAUGUGCGCAC